rnacentral:lncRNA from 1 species
AUGAGGCCGGGGGGGGAAGUUAUGGGGCGGGUGGGCGGGGAGCUAUGGGGCAGGGGGGACAGUUAUGGGGCGGGGGGGGAGUUUGUGGGGUGGGGGGGGAGUUAUGGCGGGGGGGGAGUUAUGGGGUGGGGAGGGAAGUUAUGGGGCAGUAAAUGGGGAAGGACGGAAAGAACACGGGGAAACACGGAACGGAACCAACACGACACGGGAACGGGGGGGGACAGCACGGGAAUAACAUGGGACUACAUGGGAAGGACAUGGGAACUACAUGGGAAUGACACGGGAAGGACAUGGGAACUACAUGGGAAGGACAUGGGAACUACAUGGGAAGGACACGGGAAACACAUGGGAAGGACACGGGAAGGGGGGGUCAUAUGUGGGGUAUGGGAACAUGGGAAGAACAUGGGAAGAACAUGGGAAGAGUGGGGUCAUAUGUGGGGUGUGGGAACAUGGGAAGAACAUGGGAACAUAUGGGAACUACAUGGGAAGAACAUGGGAACAUACGGGAACUACAUGGGAAUGACAUGGGAACUACAUGGGAAGGACAUGGGAAACACAUGGGAAGGACAUGGGAAGGGGGGUCAUAUGUGGGGUAUGGAAACAUGGGAACUACAUGGAAGGACAUGGGAAGGACACGGGAAUGACAUGGGAAGGACAUGGGAAGGGGGGGUCAUAUGUGGGGUGUGGGAACAUGGGAAGAACAUGGGAAGAACAUGGGAACUACAUGGGAAGGGGGGUCAUAUGUGGGGUAUGGGAACAUGGAAAGGACACGGGAAGGGGGGAUUCAUAUGUGAGGACAUGGGAACAACAUGGGAAGAACAUGGGAACAACACGGGAACAACAUGGGAACAACACGGGAACAACACGGGAAGAACAUGGGAAGAACAUGGGAACAACACGGGAACAACAUGGGAAGCACACCCCCCCAGUAAUAGGCCUCAUUAGCAUGUAAUUAGCAUCCUAUGAAUGAACACCCCCAAUAAUGAGAGUCCUCAUUAAUAUGUAAUUAGCCUUCCCAUAAUGAGAGUCCUCAUUAAUAUGCAAUUAGCACCCCCCCCCAAUGAAAGGCCUCAUUAAUAUGCAAUUCCCCCCCCCCAAGCCUCAUUAAUAUGUAAUUAGCCCUACAAUAAAUGCCCCCCCAUAAUGAAAGGCCUCA